rnacentral:rRNA from 1 species
GAUGAACGCUAGCGACAGGCCUAACACAUGCAAGUCGAGGGGUAAGGCGGGAGCUUGCUCCCGCUGACCACCAGCGCACGGGUGAGUAACACGUAUGCAACCUGCCCCGGAGAACGGAAUAGCCUCCCGAAAGGGAGAUUAACGCCGUAUGGCGCGGAUGCCCCGCAUGAGGCGUCCGCUAAAUGCGAAGCUCCGGGAUGGGCAUGCGCUCCAUUAGGUAGUAGGCGGGGUAACGGCCCACCCAGCCGUCGAUGGAUAGGGGUCCUGAGAGGGAGGUCCCCCACACUGGUACUGAGACACGGACCAGACUCCUACGGGAGGCAGCAGUGAGGAAUAUUGGUCAAUGGGCGGAAGCCUGAACCAGCCAUGUCGCGUGCAGGACUACGGCCCUACGGGUCUUAAACUGCUUUUGCGGGGGGAUAAAGUGCGCCACGGGUGGCGUCUUGCAGGUACCCCGCGAAUAAGCAUCGGCUAACUCCGUGCCAGCAGCCGCGGUAAUACGGAGGAUGCGAGCGUUAUCCGGAUUUAUUGGGUUUAAAGGGUGCGUAGGCGGGCCGUUAAGUCAGCGGUGAAAGGCGGCGGCUCAACCGUCGGACUGCCGUUGAAACUGGCGGCCUUGAGUGCGUUUGAAGUGGGCGGAAUGUGCGGUGUAGCGGUGAAAUGCAUAGAUAUCGCACAGAACGCCGAUUGCGAAGGCAGCCCACUAAGCCGCAACUGACGCUGAGGCACGAAAGCGCGGGGAUCGAACAGGAUUAGAUACCCUGGUAGUCCGCGCAGUAAACGAUGGAUGCUCGCCGUCCGCGAUACAAUGCGGGUGGCCAAGCGAAAGCGUUAAGCAUCCCACCUGGGGAGUACGCCGGCAACGGUGAAACUCAAAGGAAUUGACGGGGGCCCGCACAAGCGGAGGAACAUGUGGUUUAAUUCGAUGAUACGCGAGGAACCUUACCCGGGCUUGAAAGUUAGCGACGGGCCGCGAAAGCGGCCUUCCCCUCGGGGCGCGAAACUAGGUGCUGCAUGGUUGUCGUCAGCUCGUGCCGUGAGGUGUCGGCUUAAGUGCCAUAACGAGCGCAACCCCUUCCGCCAGUUACUAGCGGGUCAUGCCGAGGACUCUGGCGGGACUGCCGCCGCAAGGUGCGAGGAAGGCGGGGAUGACGUCAAAUCAGCACGGCCCUUACGUCCGGGGCGACACACGUGUUACAAUGGGGGGUACAGAGGGCAGCGACCGGGCGACCGGAAGCGAAUCUCCAAAAGCCCCUCUCAGUUCGGAUCGGAGUCUGCAACCCGACUCCGUGAAGCUGGAUUCGCUAGUAAUCGCGCAUCAGCCAUGGCGCGGUGAAUACGUUCCCGGGCCUUGUACACACCGCCCGUCAAGCCAUGGGAGCCUGGGGGACCUGAAGUCCGGGACCGCGAGGACCGGCCUAGGGUAAAACGGGUGACUGGGGCUA